UUAAAAUGAGAGUUUGAUCCUGGCUCAGGACGAACGCUGGCGGCGUGCCUAAUACAUGCAAGUCGAGCGAGCGGAACUAACAGAUUUACUUCGGUAAUGACGUUAGGAAAGCGAGCGGCGGAUGGGUGAGUAACACGUGGGGAACCUGCCCCAUAGUCUGGGAUACCACUUGGAAACAGGUGCUAAUACCGGAUAAGAAAGCAGAUCGCAUGAUCAGCUUUUAAAAGGCGGCGUAAGCUGUCGCUAUGGGAUGGCCCCGCGGUGCAUUAGCUAGUUGGUAAGGUAAAGGCUUACCAAGGCGAUGAUGCAUAGCCGAGUUGAGAGACUGAUCGGCCACAUUGGGACUGAGACACGGCCCAAACUCCUACGGGAGGCAGCAGUAGGGAAUCUUCCACAAUGGACGCAAGUCUGAUGGAGCAACGCCGCGUGAGUGAAGAAGGUUUUCGGAUCGUAAAGCUCUGUUGUUGGUGAAGAAGGAUAGAGGUAGUAACUGGCCUUUAUUUGACGGUAAUCAACCAGAAAGUCACGGCUAACUACGUGCCAGCAGCCGCGGUAAUACGUAGGUGGCAAGCGUUGUCCGGAUUUAUUGGGCGUAAAGCGAGCGCAGGCGGAAGAAUAAGUCUGAUGUGAAAGCCCUCGGCUUAACCGAGGAACUGCAUCGGAAACUGUUUUUCUUGAGUGCAGAAGAGGAGAGUGGAACUCCAUGUGUAGCGGUGGAAUGCGUAGAUAUAUGGAAGAACACCAGUGGCGAAGGCGGCUCUCUGGUCUGCAACUGACGCUGAGGCUCGAAAGCAUGGGUAGCGAACAGGAUUAGAUACCCUGGUAGUCCAUGCCGUAAACGAUGAGUGCUAAGUGUUGGGAGGUUUCCGCCUCUCAGUGCUGCAGCUAACGCAUUAAGCACUCCGCCUGGGGAGUACGGCCGCAAGGUUGAAACUCAAAGGAAUUGACGGGGGCCCGCACAAGCGGUGGAGCAUGUGGUUUAAUUCGAAGCAACGCGAAGAACCUUACCAGGUCUUGACAUCUAGUGCCAUUUGUAGAGAUACAAAGUUCCCUUCGGGGACGCUAAGACAGGUGGUGCAUGGCUGUCGUCAGCUCGUGUCGUGAGAUGUUGGGUUAAGUCCCGCAACGAGCGCAACCCUUGUUAUUAGUUGCCAGCAUUAAGUUGGGCACUCUAAUGAGACUGCCGGUGACAAACCGGAGGAAGGUGGGGAUGACGUCAAGUCAUCAUGCCCCUUAUGACCUGGGCUACACACGUGCUACAAUGGGCAGUACAACGAGAAGCGAGCCUGCGAAGGCAAGCGAAUCUCUGAAAGCUGUUCUCAGUUCGGACUGCAGUCUGCAACUCGACUGCACGAAGCUGGAAUCGCUAGUAAUCGCGGAUCAGCACGCCGCGGUGAAUACGUUCCCGGGCCUUGUACACACCGCCCGUCACACCAUGGGAGUCUGCAAUGCCCAAAGCCGGUGGCCUAACCUUCGGGAAGGAGCCGUCUAAGGCAGGGCAGAUGACUGGGGUGAAGUCGUAACAAGGUAGCCGUAGGAGAACCUGCGGCUGGAUCACCUCCUUUCUAAGGAA
rnacentral:rRNA from 1 species